GAUGUACUGGGAGGAACUGGGAUGGGAUGGAAUGGGUUGGACUGGGAUGAGAUGGACUGGGUCAAACUGGGAUGGGAUGGACUGGGAGGAACUGGGAUGAACUGGGAUGGGAUGGAAUGAGAUGGACUGGGCAAACUGGGACGGACUGGGAGGAACUGGGAUGGGAUGAAAUGGGUUGGACUGGGAUAAACUGGGUUGGACUGGGAGGAACUGGGAUGGCAUGGAAUGGGUUGGACUGGGAGGAACUGGGAGGAGAUGGACUGGGAGAGACUGGGAUGAGAUGGACUGGGUUAAACUGGGAGGGACUGGGAGGAACUGGGAUGGGAUGGAAUAGGUUGGAAUGGGAUAAACUGGGAUGAAAUGGAAUGAGAUGGACUGGGCAAACUGGGAUGGACUGGGAGGAACUGGGAUGGCAUGAAAUAGGUUGGACUGGGAUGAGAUGGACUGGGCCAAACUGGGAUGGGAUGGACUGGGAGGAACUGGGAUGGGAUGGACUGGGCAGAACUGGGAGGAACUGGGAUGGCAUGGAAUGGGUUGGACUGGGAUAAACUGGGAUGGACUGGGAGGAACUGGGAUGGACUGGGAGGAACUGGGAUAGAAAAGUCCUUAAAGAUCACAGAAUCAGAAGAUGGGGUUGGAAAGGUCCUGAAAGAUCACAGAAGCACGGGAGUGCUUGGAAAGGUCCUUAAAGAUCACAGAACCAUGGGAAUGGUUGGAAAGGUCCUUAAAGAUCGCAGAACGAGGAGAUGGGGCUGGAAAGGUCCUUAAAGAUCACAGAACCAUGGGAUGGGUUGGAAAGGUCCUGAAAGAUGACAGAACCACAGGUUGGAAACGUUCCGAAAGAGUAGUAGAACCACGGGAGUGGUUGGAAAGGUCCUGAAAGAUCACAAAAGUGCGGGAUGGGUUGGAAGGGUCCUGGAAGAUCACAGAAGCACGGGAUGGAUUGGAAAGGUCCUGAAAGAUGGCAGAACCUGGGGAUGGGGUUGGAAAGGUCCUGAAAGAUGACAGAACCACGGGUUGGAAAGGUUCAGAAAAAAUAGUAGAACCACGGGAUGCGGUUGGAAAGGUCCUUAAAGAUCACAAAAGUGUGGGAUGGGUUGGAAGGGUCCUGGAAGAUCACAGAAGCAGGGGAUGGGUUGGAAAGGUCCUGAAAAAUCAUAUAACCACGAGAUGGGGUUGAAAAGGUCGUGAAAGAUGACAGAACCACGGGUUGGAAAGGUUCCGAAAAAAUAGUAGAACCACGGGAUGGAUUGGAAAGGUCCUGAAAGAUCACAGAAGCACGGGAUGGGUUGGAAAGGUCCUGAAAGAUGGCAGAACCACGGGAUGGGGUUGGAAAGGUCCUGGAAGAUGACAGAACCAGGGGAUGGGUUGGAAAGGUCUUGAAAGAUGGCAGAACCAUGGGAUGAGUUGGAAAGGUCUUGAAAGAUCACAGAACCACGGGAUGGGUUGGAAAGGUCCUGAAAGAUCACAGAAGCACGGGAUGGUUUGGAAAGGUCCUGAAAGAUGGCAGAACCACGGGAGUGGUUGGA
rnacentral:lncRNA from 1 species